UACGUAGGGUGCAAGCGUUGUCCGGAAUUAUUGGGCGUAAAGGGCUCGUAGGCGGUCCAUCGCGUCGGGAGUGAAAAGCUGGGGCUUAACCCCAGUCCUGCUUCCGAUACGGGUGGACUAGAGGUAGGUAGGGGAGAACGGAAUUCCUGGUGUAGCGGUGAAAUGCGCAGAUAUCAGGAGGAACACCGGUGGCGAAGGCGGUCUCUGGGCCGAUACUGACGCUGAGGAGCGAAAGCGUGGGGAGCGAACAGG
rnacentral:rRNA from 1 species